GACGAACGCUGGCGGCGCGCCUAACACAUGCAAGUCGAACGGAGCUGAGAGAAGCUUGCUUUUCUUAGCUUAGUGGCGAACGGGUGAGUAACGCGUGAGUAACCUGCCCUGGAGUGGGGGACAACAGUUGGAAACGACUGCUAAUACCGCAUAAGCCCACGAUCCGGCAUCGGAUUGAGGGAAAAGGAUUUAUUCGCUUCAGGAUGGACUCGCGUCCAAUUAGCUAGUUGGUGAGGUAACGGCCCACCAAGGCGACGGUUGGUAGCCGGACUGAGAGGUUGAACGGCCACAUUGGGACUGAGACACGGCCCAGACUCCUACGGGAGGCAGCAGUGGGGGAUAUUGCACAAUGGGGGAAACCCUGAUGCAGCGACGCCGCGUGGAGGAAGAAGGUUUUCGGAUUGUAAACUCCUGUCGUUAGGGACGAUAAUGACGGUACCUAACAAGAAAGCACCGGCUAACUACGUG
rnacentral:rRNA from 1 species